rnacentral:ncRNA from 1 species
AUGUUCUUAAAUGAGAGAAGGUUAGCACUCCCCUUGACAAGGAUGGAAGAGGCUUUGGCCUGCAACACACUCUUUUACCCUUAUCUAAUUAUCAAGUGUUUUA